rnacentral:rRNA from 1 species
GAGUGGCGGACGGGUGAGUAACACGUGGGUAAUCUGCCCUGCACUUCGGGAUAACACUGGGAAACUGGGUCUAAUACCGCAUAGGACCUUUAGGCGCAUGUCUUUAGGUGGAAAGCUUUCGCGGUGUGGGAUGGGCCCGCGGCCUAUUAGCUAGUUGGUGAGGUAAUGGCCUACCAAGGCCACGACGGGUAGCCGACCUGAGAGGGUGUCCUGCAUCACUGGGACUGAGACACGGCCCAGACUCCUACGGGAGGCAGCAGUGGGGAAUCUUCGGCAAUGGGCGAAAGUCUGAUGCAGCAACGCCGCGUGAGUGAAGAAGGUUUUCGGAUCGUAAACCUCUGUCACCAUCGACGAAGAACAGGGUUUUAACUGAUUGACGGUAGGUGGAGCAGAAGCACCGGCUAACUACGUGCCAGCAGCCGCGGUAAUACGUAGGGUGGCGAGCGUUGUCCGGAAUUACUGGGCGUAAAGAGCUCGUAGGUGGUUU